CCCGCUCAGAAACUUAAAGGAAUGACGGGGGCCCGGCACAAGCGGUGGAGCAUGUGGUUUAAUUCGAUGAUACGCGAGGAACCUUACCUGGGCUCAAAUGUAUGUUGACGUAUUCUGAAAGGGAUACUUCUUCGGACAAUAUACAAGGUGCUGCAUGGUUGUCGUCAGCUCGUGCCGUGAGGUGUCGGGUUAAGUCCCAUAACGAGCGCAACCCCUAUCAUUAGUUGCCAUCAGGUCAAGCUGGGGACUCUAAUGAAACUGCCUACGCAAGUAGUGAGGAAGGUGGGGAUGACGUCAAAUCAUCAUGCCCCUUAUGACCUGGGCUACAAACGUGAUACAAUGGCUGGAACAAAGGGAUGCGAAGCAGUGAUGUGGAGCGAAACCCAUAAAAACAGUCUCAGUUCGGAUUGAAGUCUGCAACUCGACUUCAUGAAGUCGGAAUCGCUAGUAAUCGCGGAUCAGAACGCCGCGGUGAAUACGUUCUCGGGGUUU
rnacentral:rRNA from 1 species